rnacentral:rRNA from 1 species
CGGUGAACCCGCUUCGGUGGGGGAUCAGUGGCGAACGGGUGAGUAACACGUGGGCAACCUGCCCCCGGCUCUGGGAUAACUCCAAGAAAUUGGGGCUAAUACCGGAUGUGACCGCUGGCCGCAUGGUCUGGUGGUGGAAAGGGUUUCCGGCUGGGGAUGGGCCCGCGGCCUAUCAGCUUGUUGGUGGGGUAGUGGCCUACCAAGGCGACGACGGGUAGCCGGCCUGAGAGGGUGACCGGCCACACUGGGACUGAGACACGGCCCAGACUCCUACGGGAGGCAGCAGUGGGGAAUAUUGCGCAAUGGGCGGAAGCCUGACGCAGCGACGCCGCGUGGGGGAUGACGGCCUUCGGGUUGUAAACCUCUUUCAGCAGGGACGAAGCCGUGAGGUGACGGUACCUGCAGAAGAAGCACCGGCCAACUACGUGCCAGCAGCCGCGGUAAUACGUAGGGUGCAAGCGUUGUCCGGAAUUAUUGGGCGUAAAGAGCUCGUAGGCGGUUGGUCGCGUCGGCUGUGAAAACCCGGAGCUCAACUCCGGGCCUGCAGUCGAUACGGGCCGACUUGAGUGUUGCAGGGGAGACUGGAAUUCCUGGUGUAGCGGUGAAAUGCGCAGAUAUCAGGAGGAACACCGGUGGCGAAGGCGGGUCUCUGGGCAACAACUGACGCUGAGGAGCGAAAGCGUGGGGAGCGAACAGGAUUAGAUACCCUGGUAGUCCACGCCGUAAACGUUGGGCGCUAGGUGU